CCCCAGUAGCGGCGAGCGAACGGGGAGCAGCCCAGAGUCUGAAUCAGCUUGUGUGUUAGUGGAACGGUCUGGAAAGUCCGACGGUACAGGGUGAUAGUCCCGUACACCAAAAUGCACAGGCUGUGAACUCGAAGAGUAGGGCGGGACACGUGGUAUCCUGUCUGAAUAUGGGGGGACCAUCCUCCAAGGCUAAAUACUCCUGACUGACCGAUAGUGAACCAGUACCGUGAGGGAAAGGCGAAAAGAACCCCGGCGAGGGGAGUGAAAAAGAACCUGAAACCGUGUACGUACAAGCAGUGGGAGCACCUUCGGGUGUGACUGCGUACCUUUUGUAUAAUGGGUCAGCGACUUAUAUUCUGUAGCAAGGUUAACCGUAUAGGGGAGCCGCAGGGAAACCGAGUCUUAACUGGGCGUUAAGUUGCAGGGUAUAGACCCGAAACCCGGUGAUCUAGCCAUGGGCAGGUUGAAGGUUGGGUAACACUAACUGGAGGACCGAACCGACUAAUGUUGAAAAAUUAGCGGAUGACUUGUGGCUGGGGGUGAAAGGCCAAUCAAACCGGGAGAUAGCUGGUUCUCCCCGAAAGCUAUUUAGGUAGCGCCUCGUGAACUCAUCUUCGGGGGUAGAGCACUGUUUCGGCUAGGGGGUCAUCCCGACUUACCAACCCGAUGCAAACUACGAAUACCGAAGAAUGUUAUCACGGGAGACACACGGCGGGUGCUAACGUCCGUCGUGAAGAGGGAAACAACCCAGACCGCCAGCUAAGGUCCCAAAGUCAUGGUUAAGUGGGAAACGAUGUGGGAAGGCACAGACAGCCAGGAUGUUGGCUUAGAAGCAGCCAUCAUUUAAAGAAAGCGUAAUAGCUCACUGGUCGAGUCGGCCUGCGCGGAAGAUGUAACGGGGCUAAACCAUGCACCGAAGCUGCGGCAGCGACACUAUGUGUUGUUGGGUAGGGGAGCGUUCUGUAAGCCUGCGAAGGUGUGCUGUGAGGCAUGCUGGAGGUAUCAGAAGUGCGAAUGCUGACAUAAGUAACGAUAAAGCGGGUGAAAAGCCCGCUCGCCGGAAGACCAAGGGUUCCUGUCCAACGUUAAUCGGGGCAGGGUGAGUCGACCCCUAAGGCGAGGCCGAAAGGCGUAGUCGAUGGGAAACAGGUUAAUAUUCCUGUACUUGGUGUUACUGCGAAGGGGGGACGGAGAAGGCUAUGUUAGCCGGGCGACGGUUGUCCCGGUUUAAGCAUGUAGGCUGGUUAUCCAGGCAAAUCCGGAUAAUCAAGGCUGAGGUGUGAUGACGAGGCACUACGGUGCUGAAGUAACAAAUGCCCUGCUUCCAGGAAAAGCCUCUAAGCAUCAGGUAACAUCAAAUCGUACCCCAAACCGACACAGGUGGUCAGGUAGAGAAUACCAAGGCGCUUGAGAGAACUCGGGUGAAGGAACUAGGCAAAAUGGUGCCGUAACUUCGGGAGAAGGCACGCUGGUGUGUAGGUGAAGUCCCUGCGGAUGGAGCUGAGACCAGUCGAAGAUACCAGCUGGCUGCAACUGUUUAUUAAAAACACAGCACUGUGCAAACACGAAAGUGGACGUAUACGGUGUGACGCCUGCCCGGUGCCGGAAGGUUAAUUGAUGGGGUUAUCCGUAAGGAGAAGCUCUUGAUCGAAGCCCCGGUAAACGGCGGCCGUAACUAUAACGGUCCUAAGGUAGCGAAAUUCCUUGUCGGGUAAGUUCCGACCUGCACGAAUGGCGUAAUGAUGGCCAGGCUGUCUCCACCCGAGACUCAGUGAAAUUGAACUCGCUGUGAAGAUGCAGUGUACCCGCGGCAAGACGGAAAGACCCCGUGAACCUUUACUAUAGCUUGACACUGAACAUUGAGCCUUGAUGUGUAGGAUAGGUGGGAGGCUUUGAAGCGUGGACGCCAGUCUGCGUGGAGCCAACCUUGAAAUACCACCCUUUAAUGUUUGAUGUUCUAACGUUGGCCCCUGACCGGGGUUGCGGACAGUGUCUGGUGGGUAGUUUGACUGGGGCGGUCUCCUCCCAAAGCGUAACGGAGGAGCACGAAGGUUAGCUAAUCCUGGUCGGACAUCAGGAGGUUAGUGCAAUGGCAUAAGCUAGCUUGACUGCGAGCGUGACGGCGCGAGCAGGUGCGAAAGCAGGUCAUAGUGAUCCGGUGGUUCUGAAUGGAAGGGCCAUCGCUCAACGGAUAAAAGGUACUCCGGGGAUAACAGGCUGAUACCGCCCAAGAGUUCAUAUCGACGGCGGUGUUUGGCACCUCGAUGUCGGCUCAUCACAUCCUGGGGCUGAAGUAGGUCCCAAGGGUAUGGCUGUUCGCCAUUUAAAGUGGUACGCGAGCUGGGUUUAGAACGUCGUGAGACAGUUCGGUCCCUAUCUGCCGUGGGCGCUGGAGAAUUGAGGGGGGCUGCUCCUAGUACGAGAGGACCGGAGUGGACGCAUCACUGGUGUUCGGGUUGUCAUGCCAAUGGCACUGCCCGGUAGCUAAAUGCGGAAGAGAUAAGUGCUGAAAGCAUCUAAGCACGAAACUUGCCCCGAGAUGAGUUCUCCCUGAGACU
rnacentral:rRNA from 1 species